AGAAUCAACGCUGGCGGCGUGCCUAACACAUGCAAGUCGAACGAGAAAGUGGAGCAAUCCAUGAGUAAAGUGGCGACCGGGGGAGUAACACGUGACUAACCUACCCUUGAGUGGGGGAUAACCUCGGGAAACCGGGGCUAAUACCGCAUAACAUCUUUGGAUCGGAAGAACUGGAGAUCAAAGGAGCAAUUCGCUUAAGGAGGGGGUCGCGGCUGAUUAGCUAGUUGGCGGGUAAUGGCCACCAAGGCUUUGAUCGGUA
rnacentral:rRNA from 1 species